GAGGGCCUCGGUUGGUCAAAGUUGUUCCCUACUAGACCUGGAGAUCAAUCUUCUGAUAUCUCUCUGGUUUGUCUGUUUCCACCGAGUGGCCCGUUGGUUCUCUCCGAGUACUUCGGCUUCCUCCACCAUAAUAACAGACUUCCCGGUGUCCUAGCACUCCCUUGGUGUUGGGUUGGGAUUGAGUUGUCCUUGUAAAAAUAAUUGUCGUAUAAAUAUACGUUAGUGACACAUCUCUAUUAAUCCCGAUAGGGGGUAUACAUGAAUGCCACUGUACUCUCGCAGCUUUCGAGGGGUUCUUCGGAUAUCGGAGGCAUUUACCAGUACAUACAUACGUUAAUUCCCGACUUGCCGUCUGCAAGGCACUCCGGCUUCCUCUGGCUAUACAACUUGAAUGCUACAAAAUAGCACGUACUUCAAUGGUGCUGAAAUUGGCACUGAUUAAACACAAAUCCACCAAUCUUGAUGUGGAAUAAAAAAAUGUUAUAAAAAAAACUUGGCGUUAUCAGUUGAUUAUCAACUUAUAUGAGUUUGUAUGUCCCUUUGGCUGACAUAUUUUUUGAAUUUAUUAUUAAUAAAUAAAUAAAAGAUGCAUCAUAUUUCAUCUACUCGGUAAGAUGUCAUCAACAAACAUAAUGUGUAUGUGAGUGUGUGUCUAUUUGCUUUUUCCGAUCGUUUAUUAUUCGUCGAUCAAAGGAAUCGGUUUGCGUUUGUAAUUCGGUAAUGGUGUUUGCGUUAAAUCACACCUUUUUGUUACAUACACUGGUCUGAUUUGAUAACGAAUUAAUACUCCGUUGCUAUAGUAUAUUUUUUUAGUGGUCACAGUCGUAACUCUAAAACAAGACAAAUAACAUUGCUUCUGUUAGUUAUGCCUGUAGGAAUAUCAGUUGUGAGCAAUCGUUCUCUGCAAUACAGCGACGAAAAACUUGACGCAGGUGCAAUG
rnacentral:lncRNA from 1 species